GACGAACGCUGGCGGCGUGCUUAACACAUGCAAGUCGAACGGAAAGGCCUGCUUUCCCUUGUGGGUUGCGGGUACUCGAGUGGCGAACGGGUGAGUAACACGUGAGUGAUCUGCCCCCAACUUGGGUAUAAGCCUGGGAAACUGGGUCUAAUUCCCGAUAGGACUGCAGGGUGGUGCCUGUGGUGGAAAACGAUUUUCUAGUGGUUGGGGAUGAGCUCGCGGCCUAUCAGCUUGUUGGUGGGGUAAUGGCCUACCAAGGCGGCGACGGGUAGCCGGCCUGAGAGGGUGGACGGCCACAUUGGGACUGAGAUACGGCCCAGACUCCUACGGGAGGCAGCAGUGGGGAAUAUUGCACAAUGGGCGGAAGCCUGAUGCAGCGACGCCGCGGGGGGGAUGACGGCCUUCGGGUUGUAAACUCCUUUCGACCGCGAGGAAGCCACCUGGUUGGAAGGGUGGUGACGGUAGUGGUAGAAGAAGCACCGGCUAACUACGUG
rnacentral:rRNA from 1 species